GACGAACGCUGGCGGCGCGCUUAACACAUGCAAGUCGAGCGAGAACCUGGGCUUCGGCCCUGGGGACAGCGGCGAACGGGUGAGUAUCACGUGGGUAAUCUGCCCUCGGCAUCGGGAUAGCCCGGGGAAACCCGGAUUAAUACCGAAUAGCCUCCGGAGCCUUCGGGCGCCGGAGAAAAGGUAGCUUCAGCCUCUGGCCGAGGAUGAGCCCGCGGCGGAUUAGCUUGUUGGCGGGGUAACGGCCCACCAAGGCGACGAUCCGUAGCUGGUCUGAGAGGACGAUCAGCCACACUGGGACUGAGACACGGCCCAGACUCCUACGGGAGGCAGCAGUGGGGAAUCUUGCGCUAAUGCGGGAAACCGUGACGCAGCGACGCCGCGUGGGGGAAGAAGGCCUUCGGGUUGUAAACCUCUUUCAGGAGGGACGAAGCUACUCGGGUUAAUAGCCCAGAGGGUGACGGUACCUCCAGAAGAAGCCCCGGCUAACUACGUGCCAGCCGCCCGCGGUAAUAC
rnacentral:rRNA from 1 species